GUGGGGAAUUUUGGACAAUGGGCGCAAGCCUGAUCCAGCAAUGCCGCGUGCAGGAAGAAGGCCUUCGGGUUGUAAACUGCUUUUAACCGGGAAGAAACCCCAGGACGUGUCCUGGGUUGACGGUACCGGAGGAAUAAGCACCGGCUAACUUCGUGCCAGCAGCCGCGGUAAUACGAAGGGUGCAAGCGUUAUCCGGAUUCAUUGGGUUUAAAGGGUGCGUAGGCGGAGCGUUAAGUCAGUGGUGAAAUCCUGCAGCUUAACUGUAGACUUGCCAUUGAUACUGGCGCUCUUGAGUGCGCUUGAAGUGGGCGGAAUGUGCCGUGUAGCGGUGAAAUGCUUAGAUAUGGCACAGAACACCAAUUGCGAAGGCAGCUCACUAAGGCGAUACUGACGCUGAGGCACGAAAGCGUGGGGAUCGAACAGGAUUAGAAACCCGGGUAGUCC
rnacentral:rRNA from 1 species